rnacentral:lncRNA from 1 species
AUCCAACUUUGUCUCCCCUAGACUAGACAGCCCUCUAGAUCAGGCCUAGGAGUGGACAGUAAAAUUUAGAGAGUGCAACAGGUGAAGAGAGACGUGACUGACUCCCUCCUCUUUAGCUUCCCUUGACAGCUUCCUCUCAGACUGCCCCAGCUGAUAUCCUGCCCAGAAACACACAUGCUUGCAAAUCCAGCCACUAACCAUUGACCUGUCUUGGACUCAAGUGUGAAGAGCCAGCCAAGGAAUGCAGACCUGGAAGCCUAGGGUGUAUGUGUGUGUAUUUGUAGUCAAGUGAAAAUCCCACCCAAGCUCCAGACAGACCCUGGCGGCCCAUUCUGCAGAUGUUGGUGAGUGGUUGUUCCAGGGAUUAUAAUGUGCUUUUCCAUUUUUCCAACGAAUGAAGAACAAAGUGAUCGACUUCUUGCCUCUGCCGGGGCUCUGAAGCGCUGCCCCGAGGCGGUGGAUGGAGGGUGUCAGGCGUGACAUCAAGAGCUCUGCAGCCAGGGCCUGGGACAACCUCCCGCUCCACCUCCCCGGAGCCUCGCAGCCAGCAUCCCCAGCGGCCCGUGCGCCCCGGCCAGGCGGGACCUCAGCGCUGUGGCGGCCGCAGACCUCACCUGGGCAGGCCCCGGGCUGCAUGCGGACCGCCGGGCGCCCAGGACCCUAGAGGCAACCAGCGGGCUGGAUCCGCACAGCGGCCAUGGGGAAUGGAUGGUGUACAGGGGACAAAGCUACACACGUCUUUCAUUUUGGAGGGGGGAAAAAAGAAAAAACGGAAAUGAAAGAUA